rnacentral:tRNA from 1 species
GUCUGGGUGGCUUAGUGGUUAAGCAUCUGCCUUUGGCUCAGGUGGUGAUCCCUGGGUCCUGGGUUUGAGUCCCAAAUCAGGCU